AUGCUCUCUUUGGCAGCAUGUAUAUUAAAUUUGAACGAUACAAAGAAGAUUAGCGUGGCACCUGCACAAG
rnacentral:snRNA from 1 species